AUGCGAAAGGCCACUCGGGAGCUUCUCCCAGGAGGAAAGAGCCCACGGGUCUUCCUCAGGGUGAUUGCCCUAGUCGCAGCCCUGGAGUCCCAGUGGAGGCCCUCGGACGGCACGUGCUGUGAACGCUUUGCUGUGUCCUCGGCCUUUUUGCUGACAUUUCUUGUAGCAAUUGUCAUUGCUAAAUGGCAGUGUCAACUGAGUCCAGACACGGGAAGAUCCUCGUCUCUGUCCCGUGGGGGAUCAAGUUCAAGUGAGUGUGCUGCUGGGGUCCAAGAGCUUCUGAAGAUUUUCUACUUCACAGUCCUGGAGGAAAUUGGGUCUUUCCAAGAGCACGUGAAGAACUGCCAUUGGCUAAAGCGUGGGCCAGGACAGACAGUCAUCCACAGUGCUCUCCAUGAAGCAUGCAUGCAUCUGCUAAGCAUAAACCACUCUGGGCCACUGAACGUGACACACAGGACCUGGGUGUAUGCCUCUGGUUCAUGGAGCCACAGCCUUCACAGAAAGAGCCCACAGAUGAAAGAAGAGAGAACGGGGCCUUUAUGCCAGAAGAGUAGUCCAUAA
rnacentral:lncRNA from 1 species